UACGGAGGGUGCAAGCGUUAUCCGGAUUUACUGGGUUUAAAGGGUGCGCAGGCGGAUAUGUAAGUCAGUGGUGAAAUCUCUAGGCUUAACCUGGAAAUUGCCGUUGAUACUAUAUAUCUUGAAUGUUGUGGAGGUAAGCAGAAUAUGCCAUGUAGCGGUGAAAUGCUUAGAUAUGACAUAGAAUACCUAUUGCGAAGGCAGCUUACUACGCAGAUAUUGACGCUCAUGCACGAAAGCGUGGGGAUCAAACAGG
rnacentral:rRNA from 1 species